rnacentral:tRNA from 1 species
CGGGGCGUAGUUCAGUUGGCUAGAACGCUGCGCUGGGGGUGCAGAGGUCGCUGGUUCAAGUCCAGUCGCCCCGA